UUCAAUAAACAAUUCACGUUAAAAAUGCUGUGCAAAUGUUAUAAACACAACAGACACCCUUUAGAUUAAAAACUGCACAAUAGAAACAACUGGAGUCAUAAAAAAAAAUUGUCAUUACACGUAAAAGGAAGUUAUUACAUAGUUAAGGCAAGACUAUAAAAAAUAUAGAGCUGUUUGAAAGACUCAAUUCUGACUUUUAAAGGGGGCGAGGAUUUAGUUUGGACUUGCUAGCUGUUAACACACAACACAUAACUUUACACUUUUCAUUUCUCCGGAACUUACAACAAACAAAAGUUACCUAUGCCAACAGGUUUAAUUUGUAGGUCAUGCUUCAUUCAACAAUGAAAUAUCUGUGUUGUAGAUUUUUUUUUUUUUUUUUUCAGGCACUUGUAUUGGUGCAUUUAUGAAUUCAUCGGGAUCAACUUGAUAUGAUUGUCAUCAGUCAUUGUUUAAAUAAAGUCAAAUGUUCUAGAACAGGACAAAAAAUAAAAAUAAACAAAAGUUUCACAUUUCAUACAGGAGAUUACAUUUCAUAGUUAAGAGUUAGCAAAAUGGCUGUCCAACCACCUCUGUACCAGUUAUUUAAUCUCAGGCCCUCAGCAGCUCAAACCAGCAUGGAUGCUUUUGUGUCAGAGUUGUGGUGUAGACUUUUCCCUGGACAGUACUUUGGACAAAACCACAGGCUGGAUCAAAUGUUUGCCAGGAAGUCCCACUGGCCAGAACUGGCAACCCUGCAGCUCUGUCCCUACUAUUUUGACCAGGUCACUUACAGCCUUCCAACCAGAGGCCAAGUGAAACACAUGGAGAACUGCAACCUCAGGCUGCACUGGUUCAACUCAUGGGCAGACUUAAAACAAGAAAGGCAGAGGGCCACUGGUCAGUAUGGAAGAUGGCAUUUAAGGACUAACCGAGAAGUCCGGCCCAGCACUGGCACCCACCUGAGUCGACUCUGUCAACUCCAAGAUCCAAACAGUGGCAGGAGUAUAUCCACAAAAGAGUAUACUUACCUGAUGUAUGGCUACCACUUCUAACUGCCAACAACCUCAAGUUUUUGUCUCAUAGUUGUUACUAAAUCUGUUUUAUUACAGAUAUGAAAGUUGAGCAUGUGUCUGAUGUUGAGGUCUGAGGUGUAGACAUGGUUCAUUUUUGACAAAUGAUUUUCAUGUUAAUACCAAUUUUAUUCACAUUAAUUUUAUCCAAGUAAUCAAUUCCACCCAUAAGGGCAACAUUUCCCCUCCCCACUGACUCAAAAUGUUGGGCAAGAGUAGGUGCUUCAGCAACAUCUCUCAAAAGAACAUUUUGUUGGCAGGAAACAUGGUACCAUUACUGAACAGUGCAAAAGUAGUGUGGAUAUGGGCCAGGCAAUGCAAGACUACAGUUGAGGCAAUUGCUGCACCUACGACUUACUAACAAUAAUCACAACCGGAGCUGCUACUAACGAUUAUCUUAAUUCGAUUUGUUGAUUAUGUUGUCGAUUCAGAUGUCAGAAAACAGUAAAAAAAUGUAAUUGCUUCUUUUGUAUGACCAACAGUCCAAAACCUUUAUAUAUUUAAUUUAAUGUCAUAGAAGACUAAGAAAAACUGGAGCCACUGAUUUCUUUUGCAGUUUUUGUUUUAAAAAAAUGACUUAAACAUCAAAUCAAUCAAAAUAGUUAAUUUUCUGUCUUUCAACUAAUUAAUAAAUUAGCUUCAUUGCAGCUGUAAUCCCAACAUUCAGCUGAUAAGAUCAUAACAACAAUGCUAGUUUCACAAUUAAAAGCCAUAUUUAUCAAGGCAGAAAAACAAUGACUGACUAUAAUUUACAUUUUUUAUGGAAAACAUCUUUAAUGGAUUUUUUUUAAAGUAAUGUCUUGUUAAGUGAGUACACAUAGAUACAAAUGUUCUAUCCUAGCUACAGUCAGGGUCAGAUAUUUUUU